UGGAAUUUAAAAAAAAAUCGCAUCGCAUCGCGAAGUAUAGUGAUGAACGACGACGAAAUUGUUUCUGGCUCCUAUAAUGGUCUCGACGUCGCUUCUUCUCUGUCCGUGUAAAAGUAAUUUUCAAUUAAAUCGCAGUAACGAAAAGUACAUUCAACGCGUAAAAUUUGGAAUUACGAACGGGAGCGGUGUCAACAUUAUUGACUUGUAAUUUUCUAGUACCAAAUUUUGCCUGCGCCCCAUUUUGGAACUCCGUCAAGAUCUGGAAGGAUUGUGUGUCCCUUGUGUGUGAAAAUUUUAUCUUUCAAGUGCAUCGAUUGAAUCGUAAAUAUAGAUAUUGCUGAAUGAAAGUGAAAAAAUCAAAUAAGACAGCAUAAUGGAAAAAGAGCGAAAAUGAUGAGUGCUCUGUGAAACGAAAGUGAAUUCGGUAGAGUGAUUAUGAAAACAUUCCUCCUGACUUGCUCUUCAAGGCUGUUGUGUUUGCAAUUACUACUGCCAACAACUAAUUGAGGUGGCGGUUCAAUUGCAGUGGCAUCUUGUCGGGAGGUGGCGUGCAAAACUUCCGGCUAAGAACACCAAGGGCAUAGGUUUUACAAGAUCAUGCUUUGAGAAGAAAUAAAAAAUCAGAAUAACGGGUAGCAGUAAUCUUCGGGAGCCCUGAAUGUACGCAGUAGAACGCAAAUCUAAGGUCAUCAUAGCAAAAGUCAAAAGCAAUAACUGAUACAAAGAAACACACGAUGGUGCACAGUGGUGCGUGUAUAUCGCACUAUCUGCUGCGACCACCACCGUCAUCGUCAGCAACAUCACAGCUGUAUUCAACCGCCAUCGUAGCCAGUAGCUGUCGCCGCCGGAAAACUGUCGUCUUUCGAGAGGCAACUAUCACACCAACACCUCAGCUCAAAAUCAGACGAUCGUCAAUUCAAGCAGCAUCUGCCACACGAGAACAAAAUCUAGGAUCAUUUGAUCUGCCUCUACGAAAGCAACCGAAAGAGGUCCUAUUGUCUACAUUUGAGAGGGUCUCAAAAACGAUAGCAAAGCUACAGCAACUUGAUUAUUCGGGUUCACGUUGAUUCCUGUCACCAAGGAUUGCCCUGUGAGACUGUGAUAGGGCCGGAUCUCGGAGCGCGCAUACUAACAAAAAACUAGCACAUAGAUUCGUGGUUCAGGAAAGGACUGAAGAGAUUAGUAGUUUUAGGAGGAAUCGUAGA